UGGCUCAGUUCAGAUCGUAGGCUGCAACUCGCCUACGUGAAGGAAGAAUCGCUAGUAAUCGCAGGUCAGCAUACUGCGGUGAAUACGUUCCCGGGCCUUGUACACACCGCCCGUCACACCAUGGAAGUUGGCCACGCCCGAAGUCGUUACUCCAACCCUCUGGGAGGAGGACGCCGAAGGUGGGGCUGAUGACUGGGGUGAAGUCGUAACAAGGUAGCCGUACCGGAAGGUGCGGCUGGAUCACCUCCUAACAGGGAGACAACACAAUGAUUUUGAUGCCUGAGUGCUUUUAUUCUUAGGCCGAAAUCCUGUCACCUUAGGUCGAUCGGUACCUCAGCUUUGAAGUCAAGGAUCAGCAGCAAUGUUGAUUGCUUGAUGGAGAUUUUCAGUUCCUAAACUUUGUCUAGGUCACACCCCAAAAGGGAUGAGACUCCUGGGCCAUUAGCUCAGGUGGUUAGAGCGCACCCCUGAUAAGGGUGAGGUCCCUGGUUCAAGUCCAGGAUGGCCCAUCGGGAUUGGGGUUUAGCUCAGCUGGUAGAGCGCCUGCUUUGCAAGCAGGAUGUCAGCGGUUCGAGUCCGCUAACCUCCAUUAUUCUUGAUAAUGGAACUGUGGCACAGGGUGACAUAGACGGAUGUUGGUGAUUCCAGCCUCGUUUGAUUCUUGAUUCAAGCUCAAACGAUGCUGGGCUCAGCAAUGGGUUCAGCAAGAACCUUGAAAACUGCAUAGGUAAGUCUGGAAAU
rnacentral:misc_RNA from 1 species